rnacentral:rRNA from 1 species
AACGAACGCUGGCGGCAGGCCUAACACAUGCAAGUCGAGCGGGAACUUCCGGCUUUCCGGCGGUGGCGGGUGGGAGACGGGGGGAGGUGCACGUUUCUAUUCGAUACUCCUCUGAGAGAGGGGGUCAUAUAGGGGGAGCGCCUUUCGGGGAAGAUGUUUCGUCGUAGGGUCGGCCCGCGAUGGUUUAGGUAGUUGGGGGGGUAAUGGCCGACCACGGGGUCGAUCCUUAGCUGGUGUGAGAGGAUGAUCAGCCACACUUGGACUGAGACACGGCCCAGAAUACUACGGGAGGGAGCAGUGGGGAAUCUUGGACAAUGGGGGCAAGCCUGAUCUAGCCAUGCCGCGUGAGCGAUGAAGGCCUUAGGGUUGUAAAGCUCUUUUAGCCGGGACGAUAAUGACGGUACCAGAAGAAGAAGCCCCGGCUAACUUCGUG